rnacentral:rRNA from 1 species
GAAGCUGAGUAAGGGCACACGGAGGAUGCCUAGGCGGCGGGAGCCGAAGAAGGACGUGCUAAGCUGCGAAAAGCCCGGGGGAGGUGCACAGGACCUGUGAUACCGGGAUAUCCGAAUGGGAGAACCUGCAUACCUGGAGGGUAUGCGCGAGAGAGGUAAGCCGGCGAACUGAAACAUCUAAGUAGCCGGAGGAAAAGAAAGUAAAAACGAUUCCCUGAGUAGCGGCGAGCGAACGGGGAGGAGCCUAAACCGUAUAUGUGUUAAAGCUGGCGGCGUUGCAUAUACGGGGUAGAGGGAACAUACUGGACUGAUGCCAUAAGGUCGAGUGUAUCAUGAUGUAAGCGGAACGUGGUUGGAAAGCCAGACCGUAGGAGGUGAGAGUCCUGUAGGGCGUAAAGUCAUGAUAACUUGUAUGGAAUCCCGAGUAGCAUCGGACACGAGGAAUCCGGUGUGAAUCAGCGUGGACCAUAUCACGUAAGGCUAAAUACUUCCACCGACCGAUAGAGGAGAGUACCGUGAGGGAAAGGUGAAAAGAACCCUGAGCAAGGGAGUGAAAUAGAAUUUGAAACCGUGUGCUUACAAGCGGUAGGAGCCCAUAUGGGUGACUGCGUGGAUUUUGGUUAAUCAUCCUGCGAGUUAUGAUGUGUGGCGAGGUUAAGUAUAAGCGGAGCCGAAGGGAAACCGAGUCUUAAUAGGGCGCAAGUCGCAUGUCAUAGACGCGAAACCUAGUGAUCUAGGCCUGUCCAGGCUGAAGCUGAGGUAAGACUCAGUGGAGGGCCGAACUCACCGCCGUUGAAAAGUUGGGAGAUGAGAUAGGUCUAGGGGUGAAAAGCCAAUCGAACUAGGAGAUAGCUCGUUCUCUCCGAAAUGCAUUUAGGUGCAGCCUUGGUUGAAGAUAUGCGGGGGUAGAGCACUGUAUGGCCUAGGGGGCGUAUAGCUUACCGAAGUCAAGCAAACUGCGAAUACCGUAUAUUGUUUACCGGGAGUGAGUCUACGGAUGACAAGGUCCGUGGACGAGAGGGGAACAGCCCGGACCGCCAGCUAAGGUCCCAAAUUAUGUCUAAGUGGGAAAGGAGGUGGAUAUUCACAGACAACCAGGAGGUUGGCUUAGAAGCAGCCAUACCUUGAAAGAGUGCGUAAUAGCUCACUGGUCGAGAGUAUCUGCGCCGAAGAUAUAACGGGGCUAAGACAUGAACCGAAGCUGCGGAAGCGUGGUAACACGUUUGGUAGGAGAGCGUUCUGUAGGCCGUAGAAGGUGUCUUGAAAGGGAUGCUGGAGGUAUCAGAAGUGAGAAUGCAGGAAUGAGUAGCGAGAAGGAGGGUGAGAAUCCCUCCGGCCGGAAGUCCAAGGUUUCCAGGGGAAGGUUUGUCCGCCCUGGGGGAGUCGGGACCUAAGCAUAAGCAGAGCUGCGAAGGCGAAUGGAAAACAGGUUAAUAUUCCUGUACCGCUGUGGACUGAUUGAAAGAUGGAGUGACGCAGGAAGGUAUGCGGGAAGGCUGACGGAAUAGCCUUUCUAAGGGUGAAGCGUGGACAUAUAGGCAAAUCCGUAUGUUUAAACGUGAGGCCUGACGGGUAAGUACCUUAGGGUAUAAGCCGCAGAUCCUACACUGCCGGGAAAAACUUCUAUUUAGGGAAGCAGCGCCCGUACUGUAAACCGACACAGGUGGACAGAGUGAGAAACUUAAGGCCGACAGGACAACUCUGGCUAAGGAACUCUGCAAAAUGGCCCCGUAACUUCGGGAGAAGGGGUACCCGUGCUAACUGAAGAGAGAGACACUUGGAGGUGAAGCGGGUCGCAGUGAAGAGUCCCAAGCAACUGUUUACCAAAAACACAGGUCUAUGCUAAGCUGGAAGGCGACGUAUAUGGGCUGACACCUGCCCAGUGCCGGAAGGUUAAGAGGAGGAUUGAGAGAUCCGAAUUGAAGCCCCGGUGAACGGCGGCCGUAACUAUAACGGUCCUAAGGUAGCGAAAUUCCUUGUCGGGUAAGUUCCGACCUGCACGAAUGGUGAAAUGAUUUGGGAGCUGUCUUGGCCGGAGACCUGGUGAAGUUGUAAUGCCGGUGAAGAUACCGGUUACCUGCAGUAGGACGGAAAGACCCCGUGGAGCUUUACUGUAGCCUGGCAUUGGGUUUCGGCAAUGUGUGUAUAGGAUAGCUGGGAGGCUAUGAAGAUAUGGCGUCAGCUGUAUUGGAGCCGCUGUUGGAAUACCAGCCACGCAUUGUUGGGAUUCUAAUCUCAUAAGAUGGGAGACAGUGCUAGGUGGGCAGUUUGACUGGGGCGGUCGCCUCCAAAAGAGUAAC